GAUGAACGCUGGCGGCGUGCCUAAUACAUGCAAGUCGAGCGAACAGACGAGGAGCUUGCUCCUCUGACGUUAGCGGCGGACGGGUGAGUAACACGUGGAUAACCUACCUAUAAGACUGGGAUAACUUCGGGAAACCGGAGCUAAUACCGGAUAAUAUAUUGAACCGCAUGGUUCAAUAGUGAAAGACGGUUUUGCUGUCACUUAUAGAUGGAUCCGCGCCGCAUUAGCUAGUUGGUAAGGUAACGGCUUACCAAGGCAACGAUGCGUAGCCGACCUGAGAGGGUGAUCGGCCGCACUGGAACUGAGACACGGUCCAUACUCCUACGGGAGGCAGCAGUAGGGAAUCUUCCGCAAUGGGCGAAAGCCUGACGGAGCAACGCCGCGUGAGUGAUGAAGGUCUUCGGAUCGUAAAACUCUGUUAUUAGGGAAGAACAAAUGUGUAAGUAACUAUGCACGUCUUGACGGUACCUAAUCAGAAAGCCACGGCUAACUACGUG
rnacentral:rRNA from 1 species